UACAGAGGUCUCAAGCGUUGUCCGGAUUUACUGGGCGUAAAGAGCGCGCAGGCGGUCGAUCAAGUCGAGUGUGAAAGCCCCCGGCUCAACUGGGGAGGGUCAUUCGAUACUGAUCGACUCGAAGGCAGGAGAGGGUAGUGGAAUUCCCGGUGUAGUGGUGAAAUGCGUAGAUAUCGGGAGGAACACCAGUGGCGAAGGCGACUACCUGGCCUGUUCUUGACGCUGAGGCGCGAAAGCUAGGGGAGCAAACGGG
rnacentral:rRNA from 1 species